UACGUAGGGGGCAAGCGUUGUCCGGAAUCAUUGGGCGUAAAGCGCGUGUAGGCGGUCCGGUAAGUCCGCUGUGAAAGUCGGGGGCUCAACCCUCGGAUGCCGGUGGAUACUGUCGGGCUUGAGUACGGAAGAGGCGAGUGGAAUUCCUGGUGUAGCGGUGAAAUGCGUAGAUAUCAAGAGGAACACCUGAGGUGAAGACGGGUUGCUGGGCUGACACUGACGCUGAGGCGCGAAAUCCAGGGGAGCAAACGGG
rnacentral:rRNA from 1 species